AGGGAAGGAAGUGCAGAGAGAAGGGCUGUGUGCCCAUCAGUCUUUAUAGACAAGUUCAGAUUGUCUACCCAUUGUUCUGUUUGUGCAUUUUAGUUAAUAUUGCUAUGUAUUAACAAGCAAGUCCUAAUGCCCAAAGUAUAUCAAAAGUAGAGGUAGUAAAAUAACCCCUUAAUGAAUGCCCUUUUGUUGGCUUUUAGGAAGGGCUGUGUCUUCUGGGAGUAUCUAUGUUAAUCCACCUCUUGGAACUAGAUGUAGUCUGGUACUUAGUCGCUGAAAUGCUGGAGGAGUAAGAGGAAGGGUGAGGGGAAGGGCUCUUGGCUAAUAGCUCCCAUUAUCUGGAAGACAGUUUUAGGUUUUAACUAUAGGUCUGUAUGUGCAUUUUUGUGAAGUACCUAUGUUUAUUGUGGACAAGCUUCAUUACUUUGCAACAUCUAGGCUUUUUAGAUGUCCUGAGGUGACAAUGUAUGAUAUAAAGUAGAGCUAGUGAAUUAACCAAUUUGUAAAUAUCUUUGUUAGAAUUGAUUUUUUUUAAAAGGCAGCAUCUUGGACCUGGAAUUAUUAUACCUUCUCUGAGAACUGUACAUCAGGACUUGCUCAUCUAGGUUGGCAGCUGAGGGGAGGAAGGAAGUCUAGAGGGAGGGCUGUGUGUGGAUGUGCUCAUGUUUAUAUUUUGAUGAUAACCAUUGAUGUGCGUGCAUCUCCUGGCUGUACUAUAUAUAGGAAUGCAUUGUUUAAUAAUUCAGCAGAAGCAUACCUCCUUGCUAACACCGUAAUAGUUUAGAUCAGAUGAUGAACCCUCCUAGAACUAUUAUGCUUUGUGUGCUCUGUUGCUUUAUGUCUCAUUUUAAUUGAACAUUAAGGGAAUGUAGUAUUUUAAUCAUGAUCUAGAGGCCUGUUGCCAUUUUUGUCUUUGAAAUUUUUGUUGCCAAGUAAGGCAAGAUUACAUUUUUUUCCUUCCAGAUUGAGUUGGUGUAGUAUAUUCUUGGUUAUCAAAAUACUCAUAGCUUUGGGACUUUGAAAUGGUAAAUAUUCAUGAUGUGUGAAACAGCAUGAUACAUAACUGUAGGUCUUCAUUACAUAAAAAUGGAUGCUUGGUUGUGAAGAUACACAAACGAGACCUAGAAGGACAUGUCACGGUAAACUGCUUGUGAUUCUGAAUGACUUCGUUUUUUGCUUCUUGUGCUUUUUGGUUUCCUAUUAUGCACAUGUUAACUUUUAAGAAAUAAAUGUUAUUUUAAAAACCUUAA
rnacentral:lncRNA from 1 species